GGGCCCGAACCAGUUUCGACGGAGCGGGGACGAGUUGUUAAGCGAGCCGCGGACCCGGAGGACCGCGUCAAAAACCGGGAACACACGUAGCUGCGGAGACCAACUCUCCUAAGCUCGCUCUCGUUGCCUAAACAGCAAGUCUGAGAGUCAUCGGCCCCUCUUCGAGCCGCGAGGGGGAUCGCCGGUGUCAGCUAGCGGUUCUCGCCCAAUAGCAGCGCCACUCGGCUAGCGGGUCAAACCACAGGAGAGGCUGGCGAGGGAGCGGGUCGGCCGCAGGUGACGCCCCUCGCGAGAUCCCACCAGCGGCUGCGCUCGGAGAAGACGACUCGAUAAGCGCUUUCGGACGCCGGGGCAGUGCCGGCCGGGUCCACUG
rnacentral:tmRNA from 2 species